UUAAACAAAAGUAAUGUCUUUUUUUAAAAAAAGUAAUUUGUAUUUCAAGUAAAAAUACUUGGUUAAUAGUAAGGGACGAUAAGACCCUAAAAGCUUUAUUUAAGGGGGCUAUGUUUGGUGUUUGGCAAGGUGAAUUUAGCUGGGGUAGUUGUUGUGAGUGGACCUAUAAUUUUAGGUGGCGAGUAAUUAGGCAGGAAGGUCCUUUAGAUAAGGAUAAGUUGAGAGAGUUACUUUAGGGUUAACAGCGCAAUAGUCCCGGGGAGGCCCUAUCUAUGGGAGUGAUUGUGACCUCGAUGUUGAAUUAGGAGAUCUUUUUGGAGCAUCGGCUAGGGAAGAAGGUUUGUUCAACCUUUGAAAUUUUACAUGAUUU
rnacentral:rRNA from 1 species